GGAGAGGUGGCCGAGCGGUCGAAGGCGCACGCCUGGAAAGUGUGUAUACGGCAACGUAUCGAGGGUUCGAAUCCCUCUCUCUCCGCCA
rnacentral:tRNA from 1 species